UCUUUCACAUACAGAGCCUAUCACAGACCGUAUAGGAAGCGACUGCAGCAACUUUGGAAUGAGGCGCAGUUCUUGUGGGGGAAAUUGCUCCAGGCCACGUGUGUCCAGUCUCGUCAACAACAGCACAUCUGGGAAAAGACAGAAGUUUGGUCUACAACUGGAAGGCCCUCUCUACAAGCAAGCAAAACAGCUGUUCAAAACACCUCUCCAACUGUUAUCCCCGACAGUGUCCUUUUUGCCACCAUUGGCUUCCUGUUUCAACACAUUUUUAGAUAGAGAAGGUGGGAGCACCAGAGUCCUGGGUAAGACUGGACCAAACUCGGCACAUUAUACAAAGGUACCCUCUGUAGUUUAUUCUCACUGCCAGGGAUUCAGGUGGAUAUUCCAUUCAGCAAACAUUUACGAUUGAACUUUGCCAACACUGAUCCGUGUCACCUGUACAUUGUUAGGACUAAAAAUAGCUACAAAUCAAAGACAGAUGCAGGAUCACAGCAGUGGACAAUGUUACUUAUGGAGGAGUUUGCAUUUUGGAUUUUGAUCUGGCCCCCACAGCUACUACAACCGCUAGCUUUUUUAAAUCUGACAAAUAUUCCUGGAUCGUCACUACGUUGAUUGCUUUGCUUUUUAUUCCUGGUAUUGCUCUUGCAGAAAAGAUUCUUCCUUCAGUCAUUUUUCUUCCAGAACGACAGAGCAGCUUGUCACCUAGUUAGACACCUUAAGGCCAAGGAAGCCACUAUUAUUUUAUCAGGAUGUUCCUCCACCAUCUCCACCACCACUUCAACUAUGGGUAACUCGGUGCCAGCCUCAGAGAAUACCUUUAACUCAUAAUAACAUUAUUCCCAACAUGCUCUACCAGAAACAACUUGCCCACUCACUCUCUUCCAAAGUAUCCACUGCCACCUUCCUGUGAGCUCAGUUCCAGCAUUGUUAAAGCACAGACACAAAGGCCUUAUAAUAAAAUCUAAUCCAAAGCAUUAUUAUUGGAAUCAGUGACUUUUAGAAGCAAUUAUUAUUCAUAUACCUCAUGACAGGCUUGUAUCUUUUGAAUAAAACAAAAUGUAAGACUACAAAUAAAUAAAAAAUGUAAAAAGAUGAAAUGUAUACA